ACUGUGCUCAUGCUCCAGCUCUUCGACCCGGCCCUCCGCUCGGGCCGCCUGGCGUCGGGUCUCAGCAUGAGAAUCCCGUUCCUUCUUCAGGUCCGCCUGCAGACCCCGAACUUCAGCCUCCAGAAACUCCACCUCCGUCCCAAGCUGAACUUCUUUCUUUGUGGAUCGGGCGAGGGGAGGGAUAGCUCGGGCAAGUAUAGCGUUGGCCUGCAGUAAACACAUACAUCAGUACAAGAAGGAAAGAUCAAAGUUAAUAGCAGCAAUCAGAUUGACAAAGGGAAUUACCUGGGUCUGAGCUCGAACAUAGGCCACCAAGAACUGAUCGGGAGAGUACCCUUUAAACCGGUCAUCGUCACCAGGUAGUUUGAAGUGAUCGAAGAGGGUAAAGGGGAAGACCUCCGACGGGCUCUUGGGCCAACAGGUGGUUGGUGAUCCCCGAGAAGAGCUGGGACCGGAAGAAGGAGUGGCGGAACGGUCCAGACCGGGGACCACCAUCUCACCUGUCGGCUGAUCGGAACCUUCCGACAA
rnacentral:lncRNA from 1 species